CCUACGGGAGGCAGCCGUAGGGAAUCUUUCACAAUGGGCGAAAGCCUGAUGGAGCAACGCCGCGUGCAUGAUGAAGGCCUUCGGGUUGUAAACUGCUUUUAUCCGCGAGAAAUCUGAUGGUAACUACUGAAUAAGGAUAGGCUAACUACGUGCCAGCAGCCGCGGUCAUACGUAGGAUCCGAGCAUUAUCCGGGGUGACUGGGUGUACAGAAUUGCGUAGGUGGGAUAAUAAGUAGCGAGGGAAAUCUGGUGGCUCAACCAUUCAGACUAUUAGCUAAACUGGUAAGCUCGAGACCGGUAGGGGUAACUGGAAUUUCUAGUGUAGGAGUGAAAUCCGUAGAUAUUAGAAAGAACACCAGUAGCGUAGGCAGGUUACUGGGACAGUUCUGACACUAAGGCACGAAAGCGUAGGGAGCAAACGGGAUUAGAUACCCUAGUAGUC
rnacentral:rRNA from 1 species